AAAGGGAGACCUAAUUCAGGUAUGGGACGAAAAAAAAGUAGUCCCAACCAAGAAUCAAUCCCAAAAGGUCGGAGCGAGGCGAAAUUGGCUUUCAAACUAGGUUCUGGGUUCACACAAGACCUGAAUCAGGAACAAGGGCUAUUAGCUCAGGUGGUUAGAGCGCACCCCUGAUAAGGGUGAGGUCCCUGGUUCGAGUCCAGGAUGGCCCACCUGCACAGGUGGCAAAAACAAGAGAAGCGAGGAAUCAGCACCUUAUCUUAUAUACAUAUAUAAGAGAGAAUGCUGGCUCUGAGUACAGAGUCCAGAGGAACCUUGAAAACUGCAUAGAGCUAGGUGAAAAAGCCAAAAAAGAAGACCGCAAG
rnacentral:tRNA from 1 species